UACGUAGGGGGCAAGCGUUGUCCGGAUUUAUUGGGCGUAAAGAGCGUGUAGGCGGCCAGGGAGGUCCGUUGUGAAAACUCGAGGCUCAACCUCGAGACGCCGAUGGAAACCCCCUGGCUAGAGUCCGGAAGAGGAGAAUGGAAUUCCUGGUGUAGCGGUGAAAUGCGCAGAUAUCAGGAAGAACACCCGUGGCUAAGGCGGUCUCUAGUACGGUACUGACGCUGAGACGGCGAAAGCGUGGGGAGCGAACAGG
rnacentral:rRNA from 1 species